rnacentral:rRNA from 1 species
GACGAACCGUGCGAACGUUGUUCGGAAUCACUGGGCUUAAAGGGCGCGUAGGCGGGCUGCCAAGUCCGGGGUGAAAGCUUUCGGCUCAACCGGAAAAGUGCCUUGGAUACUGGCGGUCUCGAGGGAGGUAGGGGCAUGUGGAACUUCCGGUGGAGCGGUGAAAUGCGUUGAUAUCGGAAGGAACGCCGGUGGCGAAAGCGACGUGCUGGACCUCUUCUGACGCUGAGGCGCGAAAGCUAGGGGAGCGAACGGGAUUAGAUACCCCGGUAGUCCUAGCCCUAAACGAUGGGUACUAGAUAGUAGACUUGACAUGGGUUUACUGUCGAAGCAAAAGUGUUAAGUACCCCGCCUGGGGAGUAUGGUCGCAAGGCUGAA